CACGCCUCUAAGUGUGUGGGCUAUUAUAUGUAGUGUUUUCGGUUCACGAACGGCCCGCCAAAGUGCCGUUCGUGAAACGAAAGGAAAACCCAAUACAAAUAGCUAUCUGCAUUCGGCGGAUAGCAAACACAGGCAAUUCAAGGUAUUACAGCCAGCAUACAUUGUACAUAGUUGAACACAUAUCCCCACCGACAUACAGGCAACCCUUAAAGGUACAGUCUCUUGAUAUAGUCCAAGUGGCUAGGUUUGCCACAU